rnacentral:rRNA from 1 species
UGGGGAAUAUUGCACAAUGGGCGCAAGCCUGAUGCAGCCAUGCCGCGUGUAUGAAGAAGGCCUUCGGGUUGUAAAGUACUUUCAGCGGGGAGGAAGGCGAUAAGGUUAAUAACCUUGUCGAUUGACGUUACCCGCAGAAGAAGCACCGGCUAACUCCGUGCCAGCAGCCGCGGUAAUACGGAGGGUGCAAGCGUUAAUCGGAAUUACUGGGCGUAAAGCGCACGCAGGCGGUGUGUCAAGUCGGAUGUGAAAUCCCCGGGCUCAACCUGGGAACUGCAUUCGAAACUGGCAGGCUAGAGUCUUGUAGAGGGGGGUAGAAUUCCAGGUGUAGCGGUGAAAUGCGUAGAGAUCUGGAGGAAUACCGGUGGCGAAGGCGGCCCCCUGGACAAAGACUGACGCUCAGGUGCGAAAGCGUGGGGAGCAAACA